UACGGGAGGCAGCAGUGGGGAAUAUUGGGCAAUGGGGGAAACCCUGACCCAGCAACGCCGCGUGAGGGAAGAAGGUUUUCGGAUCGUAAACCUCUGUCCUAGGUGAAGAGUGAGAGACGGUAGCCUAGGAGGAAGCCCCGGCUAACUACGUGCCAGCAGCCGCGGUAAU
rnacentral:rRNA from 1 species